GACGUAGGAGGCGAGCGUUGUCCGGAUUCAUUGGGCGUAAAGAGCACGCAGGCGGUUUGGCAAGUCGGACGUGAAAAUCCGGGGCUCAACCCCGGACCUGCAUCCGAAACUGCCCGACUAGAGGUAGGUAGGGGAGAUCGGAAUUCCUGGUGUAGCGGUGAAAUGCGCAGAUAUCAGGAGGAACACCGAUGGCGAAGGCAGGUCUCUGGGCAUUAACUGACGCUGAGGAGCGAAAGCAUGGGGAGCGAACAGG
rnacentral:rRNA from 1 species